rnacentral:rRNA from 1 species
AUGCGGCGCAUCCAGUCGGGCUUGGGUAGUGCCCCGGCGCCAGACGCACGCGCUGGUUUCCGGCAAGCUGGACAUGGUGAUGGAAGUGCACCCUAUGUUAGUAGGGUGAGCAUCGAUGAAGCCAAAAGGAGGGAAAAUGUCAACCCCGACAAUGAAGAUAACAUUCUGAUGGGGAAUGGUUCAGCUCCAAGAGAGACAACUUGGAAAGGGCUUGUAAGCAAUGACAUCUAUUAUAUUUGGAACCAUGGCCCGAAGUUUGGUGGGGGAUUUGUUUGUCGGUACUGCCCCCUAAUCACUAGAGGAGGAGGUGCAACCCGCUUUAGGGAGCACCUUGGAGGUAUACCAGGUGAUGUGAGGGAGUGCCCUAAUGUUCCAAGAAAUAUUUGUGCUGCAAUGAGGGAAUCCCGGGAUGACUCAAUGCGGAAGAAGAGGGAAGUUCCUAAUCUGCAGAAGUGUGCCUUGAGGAUUGUAUCACAAUGCGUUUCGUCAAGUGGCUGUGAGAGGAAUUGGAGCGCUUUUGCUUUGGUCCACACCAAGCAAAGAAACCGUCUUCUAUAUGGCAAGCUGCACAAGCUUGUAUCUGUGCGCUACAACUUGAAGAUACGUGCUGAAGAAGAAGAAGACCCGGUGAGAGAGAAUGAUAAGCAGAAGGAAGUUGAUGCAUGUGCAAUGAUGAUGGAUACAACCAUGUUUGAUGCAACAAAUCCUAUGAUGGAAUGGUUAAAUGAGGAUGAGGAGCAUGCAAUCUUGGAUGGAGUUGAUGCUGCUAGUGUCGUAUUUGAGAAAAUACGUUUGCUUAACUCAAGUAGGAAAGUUUCUCGUCUUGCAAGGAAGGACAAUGGCAGGAAAAGAAAGAGGGUAGAGGAAGAAGAGGAUGACUACCAUGAUAGUGAGGAUGAUGAUGAAGAAAAUGAGGAGCUGGACCUGGAAAUUGAUGAUGAUGAUGAUAGCCAUGAUGAUGGUGCAAGUCAAUCUGAUGGAGGAGAUGCGCCAAUGCAAGUUGAAAAGGAUUUAACAAGCCAAGUUGGAAACAAUGUUGAGGUAACAAGUGAUGGUAGUUUGGUGAACCGUAGAUCUGAACGGGUUAGGCAAGCAAAGAAGGUGAAGGAGGUCACCAGCCUUUACAAUUGA